UAAAAAAAGGUAAGCUACUAAGAGCGAAUGGUGGAUGCCUUGACUGGUAAAGGCGAUGAAGGACGUACUAGACUGCGAUAAGCUACGGGGAGCUGUCAAGAAGCUUUGAUCCGUAGAUUUCCGAAUGGGGCAACCCAAUGUAUAGAGAUAUACAUUACCUAUAUAGGAGCGAACGAGGGGAAUUGAAACAUCUUAGUACCCUCAGGAAAAGAAAUCAAUAGAGAUUGCGUCAGUAGCGGCGAGCGAAAGCGCAAGAGGGCAAACCCAGUGCUUGCACUGGGGGUUGUAGGACUGCAAUGUGCAAGAGGUAAGUUUAGCAGAACAUUCUGGAAAGUAUAACCAUAGAGGGUGAUAGUCCCGUAUGCGAAAAACAAACCUUAGCUAGCAGUAUCCUGAGUAGGGCGGGACACGAGGAAUCCUGUCUGAAUCCGGGUCGACCACGAUCCAACCCUAAAUACUAAUACCAGAUCGAUAGUGCACAAGUACCGUGAGGGAAAGGUGAAAAGAACUGAGGUGAUCAGAGUGAAAUAGAACCUGAAACCAUUUGCUUACAAUCAUUCAGAGCCCUAUGUAGCAAUACAGGGUGAUGGACUGCCUUUUGCAUAAUGAGCCUGCGAGUUGUGGUGUCUGGCAAGGUUAAGCAAACGCGAAGCCGUAGCGAAAGCGAGUCUGAAUAGGGCGCUUAGUCAGAUGCUGCAGACCCGAAACGAAGUGAUCUAUCCAUGAGCAAGUUGAAGCUAGUGUAAGAACUAGUGGAGGACUGAACCCAUAGGCGUUGAAAAGCCCCGGGAUGACUUGUGGAUAGGGGUGAAAGGCCAAUCAAACUUCGUGAUAGCUGGUUCUCUCCGAAAUAUAUUUAGGUAUAGCGUUGUGUCGUAAUAUAAGGGGGUAGAGCACUGAAUGGGCUAGGGCAUACACCAAUGUACCAAACCCUAUCAAACUCCGAAUACCUUAUAUGUAAUCACAGCAGUCAGGCGGCGAGUGAUAAAAUCCGUCGUCAAGAGGGAAACAACCCAGACUACCAGCUAAGGUCCCUAAAUCUUACUUAAGUGGAAAACGAUGUGAAGUUACUUAAACAACCAGGAGGUUGGCUUAGAAGCAGCCAUCCUUUAAAGAAAGCGUAAUAGCUCACUGGUCUAGUGAUUUUGCGCGGAAAAUAUAACGGGGCUAAAGUAAGUACCGAAGCUGUAGACUUGCACACAACUUAGAUUAUUUAAGUUUAGAAUAUGAGAAACUAAGUUAUAUGUUUAGUUAUAUUUUUACUGAUUUUUAUAGAGUAAAGAUAGAAAUAAAACUUAGUAAAAUCAGUAAAAAUAUUCUUAGGCUAAAGUUAAGUAGUUUAAGUUGUGUGCAAGUGGUAGGAGAGCGUUCUAUUUGCGUCGAAGGUAUACCGGUAAGGAGUGCUGGAGCGAAUAGAAGUGAGCAUGCAGGCAUGAGUAGCGAUAAUUAAUGUGAGAAUCAUUAACGCCGUAAACCCAAGGUUUCCUACGCGAUGCUCGUCAUCGUAGGGUUAGUCGGGUCCUAAGUCGAGUCCGAAAGGGGUAGACGAUGGCAAAUUGGUUAAUAUUCCAAUACCAACAUUAGUGUGCGAUGGAAGGACGCUUAGGGCUAAGGGGGCUAGCGGAUGGAAGUGCUAGUCUAAGGUCGUAGGAGGUUAUACAGGCAAAUCCGUAUAACAAUACUCCGAGAACUGAAAGGCUUUUUGAAGUCUUCGGAUGGAUAGAAGAACCCCUGAUGCCGUCGAGCCAAGAAAAGUUUCUAAGUUUAGCUAAUGUUGCCCGUACCGUAAACCGACACAGGUGGGUGGGAUGAGUAUUCUAAGGCGCGUGGAAGAACUCUCUUUAAGGAACUCUGCAAAAUAGCACCGUAUCUUCGGUAUAAGGUGUGGUUAGCUUUGUAUUAGGAUUUACUCCGAAAGCAAGGAAACUUACAACAAAGAGUCCCUCCCGACUGUUUACCAAAAACACAGCACUCUGCUAACUCGUAAGAGGAUGUAUAGGGUGUGACGCCUGCCCGGUGCUCGAAGGUUAAUUGAUGGGGUUAGCAUUAGCGAAGCUCUUGAUCGAAGCCCGAGUAAACGGCGGCCGUAACUAUAACGGUCCUAAGGUAGCGAAAUUCCUUGUCGGUUAAAUACCGACCUGCAUGAAUGGCGUAACGAGAUGGGAGCUGUCUCAAAGAGGGAUCCAGUGAAAUUGUAGUGGAGGUGAAAAUUCCUCCUACCCGCGGCAAGACGGAAAGACCCCGUGGACCUUUACUACAGCUUGACACUGCUACUUGGAUAAGAAUGUGCAGGAUAGGUGGGAGGCUUUGAGUAUAUGACGCCAGUUGUAUAUGAGCCAUUGUUGAGAUACCACUCUUUCUUAUUUGGGUAGCUAACCAGCUUGAGUUAUCCUCAAGUGGGACAAUGUCUGGUGGGUAGUUUGACUGGGGCGGUCGCCUCCCAAAUAAUAACGGAGGCUUACAAAGGUUGGCUCAGAACGGUUGGAAAUCGUUCGUAGAGUAUAAAGGUAUAAGCCAGCUUAACUGCAAGACAUACAAGUCAAGCAGAGACGAAAGUCGGUCUUAGUGAUCCGGUGGUUCUGUGUGGAAGGGCCAUCGCUCAAAGGAUAAAAGGUACCCCGGGGAUAACAGGCUGAUCUCCCCCAAGAGCUCACAUCGACGGGGAGGUUUGGCACCUCGAUGUCGGCUCAUCGCAUCCUGGGGCUGGAGCAGGUCCCAAGGGUAUGGCUGUUCGCCAUUUAAAGCGGUACGCGAGCUGGGUUCAGAACGUCGUGAGACAGUUCGGUCCCUAUCUGCCGUGGGCGUAAGAAGAUUGAAGAGAUUUGACCCUAGUACGAGAGGACCGGGUUGAACAAACCACUGGUGUAGCUGUUGUUCUGCCAAGAGCAUCGCAGCGUAGCUAAGUUUGGAAAGGAUAAACGCUGAAAGCAUCUAAGCGUGAAGCCAACUCUAAGAUGAAUCUUCUCUAAGCUCUCUAGAAGACUACUAGUUUGAUAGGCUGGGUGUGUAAUGGAUGAAAGUCCUUUAGCUGACCAGUACUAAUAGAGCGUUUGGCUUAUCUUUAAUAAAGCAU
rnacentral:rRNA from 1 species